AUUUAACAGAAAAAGUAGUUCAAUAUGCAGUAAUGUUAUGUUGUAAUGACAGUAUUUACGAAUUUAGCACCAAAAUAUCACGAUAUAUUGAAAACAUUGACUACAAAAAUGGCUUGGAUUAUCCAGAAGCUUGGAUAAGCGAGGCUUGGAUAAGUGAGACUCUACUGUAUGUAUGUAUGUAUGUGUGUGUAUAUAUAUAUAUACAUAUAUAUAAAGGUAAAGGUUUCCCCUGACCUUAAGUCCAGUCGUGUCUGACUUUGGGGCUUGGUGCUCAUCUCCAUUUCUAAGCUGAAGAGCCAGCGUUGUCCGUAGACCUAAACCCUACUUUAGAAACGAGAAUUGAAACAUUUUUUUCAUCGAUCGGACAUGCCUAGUAGACAGCUUUGUCCACAUUUCUCCAGGGAAGGCCAUAGGGUUGAGUCAGAGAAAGAAAGACACACCGGCCAAAAUCCUAUUCUUCAUCCCCAUUAAACCAAUGGGAUUUGCUGGUGUGUUGCCUCAGCAUUCAACAACUGGCCAAGGUCUUGUAUUGUGAGAUUUAAUAUUUUACAUGUCUCUCGUUCAUCUCCCACAAGACUAAGAAGGAAAGGUAUCACAUCCCUGGUCUUCCCAGAGUUGGAAGAGACCACAAGUACCAUCUAGUUCAACCCGACCUUCCUAUGCAGGAAUUCACAAUCGGCUUGUUCCAGAGACUCAAUAAGGGCAGCAAGUCCGGCACAAUUUCUGCUGUUCCAUCAGCUUCUGUGCUGUUCCAUCAGCUUCAUUUUUCAUCUGCCUUUUUCAAAAGCACCAUUUUGACAGCAAGCCUCCUCUGCUCAAGCCUUGUCGGCCCCUGAAGGAAGGAUUUUGAGUGGUAGGACCCAAGGGUGCUUGGAGACAUCUUGGACUUCAAGGCAUUUGCAUGCUUAAAACUUCAUGGACUGGAGUUUGGGGGUGUGCAUCUCUUUGAGAUGUGGGCAAAGAAUGAAUGAAGGUUGUUCCCUUCCCUGUUCUGUGAGAUAUACUCACACCCUCCUUCUCCACUGGUCUGUCUGGACCAAGCAAUGGAAAGCAGCUGCUCUUAUUCCUCCAAAUGUACAGGGAAGCUUAAUUGGAACACAGAGCACCCUUUAUUUAUUUAUUUAUUUAUUUAUUUACAGUAUUUAUAUUCCGCCCUUCUCACCCCGAAAGGGACUCAGGGCGGAUCACAUUAUACAGACAUAGGGCAAACAUUCAAUGCCCAUAAACACAUCAAACAGAGACUGAGACAGACAGACGCAGAGGCAAUUUAACCUUCUCCUGAGGGGGAUGUUCUAUUCUGGCCACAGGGGGGAGCAGCUGCUUCAUCAUCCAUCAUCUUAUUCAUGAUUUUAACAUUUUAUCUUGUAUGUGGUUUUUAUGACUUGUUUUUAUGGUUUGAUUAUUGGUUUUAUUGGUUAAUUGUCUUGUUUUUAUUGUUCUAUUCAGGCUUGGCCCCAUGUAAGCCGCCCCGAGUCCCUUCGGGGAGAUGGGGCGGGGUAUAAGAAUAAAAUAAUAAUAAUAAUAAAAUAAUAAUAAUAAUAAUUAUUAUUAUUAUCCACUCUGAUGGCACUUCCUCAUUCCAAGUCAUAAAUUAGUUAAACUUGCCUUCCACUUUUAUAAGUGAUACCUUAUUUCCUACUUGAUAGAUGCAACUAUCUUACGUGUUGCUAGGUCAGCAACGAGCAGGGGCUAUUUUUAAUUUUUAAUUUAUGGGUGCUCACCCCGCCACGGGCUGGCCUCGAACUCAUGACCUCAUGGUCAGAGUGAUUUAUUGCAGCAGCUCAACAGCCUGCACCACAGCCCGGCCCCACACCCUUUUCCCUCCUUCUCUCAUUCACUCUGCAGCUCAACCACUUGACAGCUCCCAUGAUAUUUUAUCUACCUUUCACAAGAAACCACCCAGGAAAUAAAAGCAAGACCAUACCUAGUUGGGUGAUACACCAUCACUCUUUGGCAGACCUUGUCAGACUACAGCACCCACCUUUCCAUAGCAUUUCCAGAGCCGGCCCUAGGUAAUUUUGAAGUGUAAGCAAGCAGUAUUUCUGCCCCCCUCCCAAACCAGUCACUCACAGCUUCUCUCCUCGUCCAGCCCCGGCCUCCUUCCUCGCUGCAAGGAAGGGCUUUGGGGCUUUGGCCAGGAGGGAAGCGGCAUUUCCUUCUCCAAAGCACCGGGCUCCUUGCAAGAAGGAAAGGGGCCACUGCUUUGGGGAGGAAAGAAGCGGAUCUUAUGGGUUUAUGGUUCCCAUCCCCUUGAUCAGGUCAUCUGGAGUCUGGGCGCCUGAAUGUGCCUCAACUGCGCCCCCCAGACGAUGGCGCCUUCAGCAACUGCCUACUUCGCCUAACGGUUGAACCACCCCUGAUUGAGCCAUGGCUGUUAAAGUGGUGUCAAAGUGCAUUCACUGGAUUGUAAGAUGCAUGUGUUAAAUAGCAUUUACAUUACAAGAUAUAGAGUUUAAAAAAACAAAUCUAUAACUGCAGUAUAGAUUUUACUGUGUUCUCUGGGGGCCUGAUUUUUGGAAACAAUCAGAGCAUGACUCUUACUCUCAUCCUCAUAUCCUGCACAAGCCAUGGCUCUUAAUGUGCAGGCAGCAUGAGCCUGUGUCUCUCCUCCUCUGAAUGUGCCUGCCCUUCGUGAGCAUUUCCUCUUCCCUUGCCAAGGUGUGUGGAACGUGCGAUGCCCUCUCCAGAAGCCGGUGUGCCUGCUGCCUCUCUUUGAGCGUUGGCGUUUGCCAUUGUUGCAUGGCGAGAUAUUUUUAUUCCUCACCCCACUAUGAUUAUUAAGAAAAGCCAACAGUUACUGCAUUUAGCUGUAAACACAGCUUGCGGUGUCAUAAUUCUGUGCAAAAGUAGAGAGCUGAAAGGAAGGGGGCAGAGAGGAUGUGCAAGGGAAUGGGGGGCAAAGAGGUGGGCCCUUUUUGUCAGUGCGGAAAAAUUGGGGAGCCCACACGACGAAGGGCAAAGGGAGAAGGCAGCUGGCAAAGUGCCCACCUCUCCUGCUGCUUGCCUCUGUUCCCUCGCUUUUGUAACAACAUCUGGUGCUCGGCAGCAGCGUGGCAGGGGGUCAUUGCUCCAUCUCCUGGAUGAGACUCCAGAAGAAGUGGAGGAGCAAAUGUGGAAGUAACUCAUCCUGGGCAUCAACUCACUGGGUGGGCUCCAUUCCAGGCGAGGAUGGCUCACUCAGCUCCAGGGGGUUAAGGCUCCCCGACCGAGCAACGUUUCCUCCCGUUUGGGCAGUUUGGAAAACGGCACAGAAAACAACUUCAGUGCUCUGAAAGAAAGGCAAAGCAUCCGCAAUCAUAGAGCAACGGAGAGAGAUGAUACAGUUGGUCCUCUGCAUUGCAGAUUCCGCAUCCAUGGAUUCAACUAACCACAGUUUGAAAACCAGAAUCCAAAAAGUACAGUAACUUUUGAUUUUGCCAUUUUAUGUAAGGCGUACCACUGUAUAUAAUGAAACUUCAAAAUCUAUGGAUUUUGGUACUUCCCUGUUUCCCCGAAAAUAAGACAUCCCCAGAAAAUAAGACCUAGUAGAGGUUUUGCUGAAUUGCUAAAUAUAAGGCCUCCCCCGAAAGUAAGACCUUGCAAAGUUUGUGUUUGGAAUUAUGCCUGCCAAACAGAACCCCAGAGCAUUCAGGAUUGGUAAAUGUACGUACCAUAGAUUGCUGUACAUGAAAAUAAUGGUAAUAACAAGAAAUUCUUGAUAGAAUUAAGUUUGUCUGGUUAUGCUGGUUUGUGAUGAUAUCUACUGUACAGUAUAUAAUAAAUGUUCAUUUUUUUGUUCAACAAUAAAUGUGAAUUCUUCUUCAUGGAAAAAUACGACAUCCCCUGAAAAUAAGACCUAGCGCAUCUUUGGGAGCAAAAAUUAAUAUAUGACACUGUCUUAUUUUCGGGGAAACACGGUAGAGCAACGGAGAGAUAUGAUACAGUUGGUCCUCUGCAUUGCAGAUUCCGCAUCCAUGGAUUCAACUAACCACAGUUUGAAAACCAGAAUCCAAAAAGUACAGUAACUUUUGAUUUUGCCAUUUUAUGUAAGGCGUACCACUGUAUAUAAUGAAACUUCAAAAUCUAUGGAUUUUGGUACUAGUCACAAGGAAUUCAGGAACCCAGUCCCAGCAGAUACCAUAGUCCUGUUGCAAUUGUUAAUGUGGGAUUUGUGUAUUAGUAGUGUUUAAAUGAAAUUUGUGUCUAGCAUGUAUUGCAUCAUCCAGGAAGUGUGUAAAGAGUUAAUGUUACUGUUACUGUUAAUGUUACUAAGAGUUACUGUUUUUUUUUUUUGAUUUCUUGAUGUAAUGUCUAUUAUCAUCUAUUGUAUUGCUUUUAAUUGUGUUAUGAUAUGUUGUUUUUAUAUGUUAUAUUGUAUUGCUCUGGGCGUGGCCCCAUGUUAGCCGCCCCGAGUCCCCGUUGGGGAGAUGGUGGCGGGGUAUAAAUAAAGUUUUAUUAUUAUUA